rnacentral:rRNA from 1 species
CAGGAUGAACGCUAGCGGCAGGCCUAAUACAUGCAAGUCGUACGGGAUCCAUCGGAGAGCUUGCUCGAAGAUGGUGAGAGUGGCGCACGGGUGCGUAACGCGUGAGCAACCUACCUCUAUCAGGGGGAUAGCCUCUCGAAAGAGAGAUUAACACCGCAUAACAUAUCUAACUGGCAUCGGUGAGUUAUUAAAUAUUUAUAGGAUAGAGAUGGGCUCGCGUGACAUUAGCUAGUUGGUAGGGUAACGGCUUACCAAGGCGACGAUGUCUAGGGGCUCUGAGAGGAGAAUCCCCCACACUGGUACUGAGACACGGACCAGACUCCUACGGGAGGCAGCAGUAAGGAAUAUUGGUCAAUGGGCGGAAGCCUGAACCAGCCAUGCCGCGUGCAGGAUGACUGCCCUAUGGGUUGUAAACUGCUUUUGUCCAGGAAUAAACCUAAAUACGUGUAUUUAGCUGAAUGUACUGGAAGAAUAAGGAUCGGCUAACUCCGUGCCAGCAGCCGCGGUAAUACGGAGGAUCCGAGCGUUAUCCGGAUUUAUUGGGUUUAAAGGGUGCGUAGGCGGCCUAUUAAGUCAGGGGUGAAAUACGGUGGCUCAACCAUCGCAGUGCCUUUGAUACUGAUGGGCUUGAAUCCAUUUGAAGUGGGCGGAAUAAGACAAGUAGCGGUGAAAUGCAUAGAUAUGUCUUAGAACUCCGAUUGCGAAGGCAGCUCACUAAGCUGGUAUUGACGCUGAUGCACGAAAGCGUGGGGAUCGAACAGGAUUAGAUACCCUGGUAGUCCACGCCCUAAACGAUGAUAACUCGAUGUUGGCGAUAGACAGCCAGC